GCAAGUGCCGUUGACAGAAUGCAGGCGGGAAGCUUCAGUUUGGGUAGAGAUGUAGCAUCAAACAUUCACGGAUGUCCAGGGAGCACGGGCACACAGGCUGCUGGCCAGAGGUACUAGGAAGGUACAGGCGGGAGUUCGACGAGGACGCACCUUCCCCUGUCUUGGAAAGGAGGCUGCUCACAGCGCUGCUGGACUCUUUAAGCCCUGAGGUCAUGUGAAAAGAAGUUUGCCCUGUGUCCUUCUGUCUCCUGUUGGCUGUCCACAAAAUGGAGAAGGCGGAAGCAACCUGAGGCGUCCUCUUUGUCUGUAAAGAUAGAGAGUCCAUUGUGGAAGGGGGAGAUACAGGAACUAUAUAGGCGAGGCUCUACCGGACUGCAUCUCUUAUCUCCAGAAUUCUUUUACAGAAAAGAAAAAAAUAAACUUUUAUCUGGCUUAAGCCACUACUGUUUCUGGGCUCUGUUACUAGCUGCCAAAUGCAAAUCUUAACUGAUAGAAAAGUCCUUGACGGAGUUUGAGCUGGUGAAUGGAUGCUGCCUGUUCAGUGGCUCUGCAGUGGUGGAUCUGUGGGAGUGGAGCAUCCUGGAGGGUACCAGGAGAUAAAGAUGGCUUGGCAGAUGGGGGCAGACAGUGAGAAUACACCUCACAAGGUGUCACGGACUUUCUUUUCCCCCAGGACACCUCUGCUGAAGUACUGUUAUACAGUGGCUCUUUAAACGUCUAUUGAUGGAGUAAUUUGAAGUCCGCUCCUGUCAGCUGGCCUCAAAGCUGGGCUAUUUAGAAGAUGCGUACUCUUUGUGCCUAAAAAAAAGAGCAGCAGGUAAAGAAUGGAGCGGGAAGGGGUAUCAGCAUUACAGGAAAGUCAAGUGACUCCCUGCAGGCGUCUCCAAGGAAAGGACUUUGUUACACGUGAUUGUCUAAUGAAAAUACAUCAAAGUCUAAUGAAGAUAUCCUUUACUGAGUAGCAACUGUAAAUAAUGUCCCAGAUGUACAUCCUUCUGUAGCUUAUAGCAUGAAUUCAUAUACUACCUAUUUCUAAUUUAUUAUUUUCAUAAUAACUUCAUCAUCGUAAGAUUAGGCAAGACUGUUCCAUUUUACGUUAGAAGGACAUUUACUGUUUAUAUGGAUUAUAAAAAUAUGAACAGACUCCGGUUCUAGCUCAUUCUGUAAUCCAAGUACUUGUGAGCCAGAGGCAGAAAGACAGUUGUGAGUUUAAGGUCAGGUGACUGUGGGUGACAUAGUCCAGGGACCAGGGGGCUGCAGGGUUAGACUUUCCUCUCAAAAAAAAAACAAAAAACAAAAAAAACCAAAAACCAUAAAAAAGUUCAGUUACACAGCACAACUACUAAAGCAACAUAAAAGAGAGUAGCUUGGCCCCAUGUAACGAAGGAUUUUACCAUCUUUUUCUAUUGUGUAAGAAACUGUAAGUCCAGAGCCAGGGAGACAGCUCAUCAGGCAAAACUGCUUGCCACAAACCUGACAGCCUGGGUGUGAUCCCUGGAACUGACCCCUGAGAAGGGUCCUCUGCCUUCCUCACUUGUACCUUGGCACCCACAUGCCUGCACUCAUUCUCACAUCACACAUCACACACACACACACACACACACACACACCAAUAAAUAAUAAUAGUAAAUUCAAUCUUAAUUCCAGAGCAUAGAUCUCUUGUGAACUAAAUGUAUUAACUUACUAUUUCCUUCCUUCCUUCCUUCCUUCCUUCCUUCCUUCCUUCCUUCCUUCCUUCCUUCCUUUUUUUUGUUUUUUCGAGACAGGGUUUCUCUGUAUAGCCCUGGAUAUCCUGGAAUUCACUUUGUAGACCAGGCUGGCCUCGAACUCAGAAAUCCCCCUGCCUCUGCCUCCCGAGUGCUGGGAUUAAAGGUGUGCGCCACCAUGCCCGACACUAUUCCAUUUCUUUUUUUCUUUCUUAAAACUUAGUUGGGGGCUGGAGAGAUAGCUCAGCAGUUAGAGCACUGGUUGCUCUUCCAGAGGACCUACAUUCCACUCCCAGCACCCACAUGGCAGAUCAUAGCCAUCUAUAUAACUCCAGUUCUAACCCUGGGCACCAGACGUGAGCAUGGUACACAGAUAUGCAUGUAGAAAAAAAACCCAUAUGCAUAAGAUAAAUGAAGCUUUUAAAAGUAUAUGUUGGGACUCUAAGGUUCCUUUCAAACUUGGCAUGGAUAAAUAAUCAGAAGCCUCACAAUUCACCUUCAUAUCUCAACUCCAUUAAAGCUGUGGCCUUCAGCCUUUCUCUCCACCUCGGGGAGGACAGAUGUUACCUGAAAUAUCUUUUUUUUUUUUUUUUUUUUUCCUGAGACAGGGUUUCUCUGUGUAGCCCUGGCUGUCCUGGAACUCACUCUGUAGACCAGGCUGGCCUCGAACUCAGAAAUCCGCCUGCCUCUGCCUCCCGAGUGCUGGGAUUAAAGGCGUGCGCCACCACUGCCCGGCCUGAAAUAUUUUUUUAAUUAAUUAUGUCUCCUUGUCCUUUGCCUUGAUUUUGUCAAAAUAACGUGUAAGAAUUUAACCACUACUGACUAUUCAGGUACGGAUCUCUACAGUUUUGCCAAAGGAUUGUUUGGGUAAUUUUAAUUCUUUCUUAUUUCUCAUGUGUGUGUGGGGGGGUGGGGGGUGGGGGGGUGGGGUGGGGUGUGUAUGUGUGUGUGUGUGUGUGUGGUUGUUGCUUGUUUUUGUUUCUCUCUUUCUUUUUCCUUUUUAAAAAUGCAGUCUUGCUAUGUAGUGCCUGUUAGCCUGCUACUUACUAUGCAGCCCAUAACUCUUGGCGAUCCUCCUGCAUCAGCAAGUUUCACAGUCUUAGGUCACCAUGCCCAGCUUCAACUAUUAGGGUUUGACUGGUACUUCUCUGAAGUUCCUGGGUUGCAUUUUGUAAGAUCUGCUCUGAGGAGAAAGACGCUGAAGCCUGCCAUCUGCCGCACAGACUUUGUUUUCUCCGGUUAAACGGUAACGAUGCUGCUAUGUGUGGGGCACCGUGUGCCAGCAGCUGAGUGGCUGGCUAGUAUUCUAACCCCAACGAAGACUCUGGGAAGCAGCUGUAUUGGUGAAGAAACCGUUUCGGAGCUGUGGCUCAAGGCUGCAGAGAGCAGCUGAGCAAGGGCAGUUUAAGGUCUUGCUGACUCCUGUGUGGCUCAGAGGGUGACCUGUCAUUCUUAUAAAUAAUCUGGAGGAGAACAAGGCCAACUGUCUCCGUGCGACACUUGAUCCCACAUUUAUCCUUUCAGGCUGCCAAACUGAAAGACCUUAUGGUGAUUAAAUAUUUCUGGCCAGCAAUGCCCUGCCACUUUAUUGAAAAACGAUAGCCUGAUAUCUUCUAUAAUUUUUUUUUUUCUGUUGAGACAAGGUCUCAUGCAGUCCAGGCCAGUCUUGAAUUCACUGUGUAGCCAAGGUCAACCUUCAGUUUCUGAUCCCCCUGCCUCCUUCUUCUAAGCACCAAAGCUAAAGGUGCGCCCAGAUUGUCAUGCCAUGGCUUUGUGCGUGCUAGGUGAGUGUUCUAACUGAACCACAUCUGUAGCUCUGAAACUGUUUCCAUAAAAACAAAUGUUCUGUAUCAGCGUUAGCUAUGGUGGACAAGCUGCCCCAAGGCGCCAUAGUUCAUUGGUAAUGCAUUGCAGAGGGGCUGGAGAAAUGGCUCAGCGGUAAAGAACACUGACUGCUCUUCGGAAGGUCCUGAGUUCAAAUCUCAGCAACCACAUAGUGGCUCAUAACCAUCUGUAAUGAGAUCUGACGCCCUCCUCUGGUGUGUCGGAAGACAGCUACAGUGUACUUACAUAUAAUAAUAAAUAAAUCUUUAAAAAAAGAACACAGUAAAAAACAAAACACACACACAUAUAAUAAUAAAUAAAUCUUUAAAAAAUAACACAGUAAAAAACAAAACACACACACACACAAUGCAUUGCAGAGGGUCCAUAAUAAAUAAAUCUUUAAAAAAAGAACACAGUAAAAAACAAAACACACACACACACAUGCACACACACAAUGCAUUGCAGAGGGUCCACCCUUUUCAUUGGAUGGACAAGGCUCUGCCUCAUGGGGGUGAUGGUAGGAAUGGGAUAAAUCAAACAAAUGACAAACCACACACACACACACACACACACACACACACACACACACACACACACACUACCCCCCAAAAGAAAACCAAAAUUAAAUGAAAUAAAAAAACAGGACAGGUAAGAUAGGUCAGUUGGUAAAAGUGCUUGCUGCUGGAACCCCAUCGGAGAGGGCAAGAACCCAUUCCUAAAGGUUGUCCUCUGAAUUCUCUGUGCAGAACACUACAGAACACACCUUUGUCUGUGCCUCCGUCUCUUCUGAAGCACACAGAAUAACAUCACUUUAUUUGGCAGGGGUGGAGGUGGGCAGCAAGCUACUGUAAACCAGGUUUGGGAAAUCUCUUCUCAAAGGACAGGACAUGUUGCGGUAAGAGAAGUAUGCUAGCUCAUAGAAGCUUGGGUGUGAAAAGUUCUUUGUAUUUUCUAAGGUUUUUAGAGCAGAGCUGGCGAUUAUGAGAUUUUAAUGUAGAACUGAAGCCCUAGGGCUAAGAGAAAGGAGAAUGCACUGGAAGAAAGGAAAGUGCAACCAAGAACCAAGGUGUGGGCUUCUCAAACAUUGCCUUCUUCCAGGGCAGAGAAGGCCCAGAUCAGGGCCAUGUAUCUGCAGAGGCCCAUAGGCAAGCCUGUGGUGUAUUUUCUCGAUUGAUGUGGAAGGGCCCAGCAUGUGGUAGUGGUUCUGAGUUCUAUGAGAAAGCAGGUUUCAGGAGAAGAUAAAAAACAAAAAAAAAAAAAAAAAAACAAACAAAAAAAAAAAACGCACACAGGUAAACAUUCCCUGUCUAGGGAACUGAUAGAAAAUGUUGUCAGUUAUUUGUCUGUAUUUUUUUAGUUGAAAUUUUAUCUUAUUUAUGUGUAUGUAUCUCUGGGUGUCUGCCACUUGUAUUUGGAUGGUCACGUAGAUCAGAGAAGGCAUCAGAGCCCCUGAAGCUGGAGUUCUAGGCAAUUCUGAGCAGCCCAGUGUCAUUGCUGAAAACUGAACUUGGCCCCUCUAGAAGAGCAGCCUGUGCUCUUAACUGCUGGGCUAUCUCUCCAGUCCCCAUUUGUGUAUAUUUUGAUAUUACUUAUUUAUUAAUUUAUUUUUGUUUGUUUGUCUUCAAGGCAGGGUUUCUCUAUGCAGCCCUGGCUAUCCUGGAACUCGCUCUGUAAAGCAGGCUGGCCUCUGACUCAAGAGCUGUACUUGCCUCUGCUUCCCAAGUGCUGGGACUAAAGGUGUGCACCCCACCCCCCACCCCGGCUGAUUUUAUUUAUUUAUUUUGUAAGUAUCUAUUGUUUUUAUUAUUGUAUGUGAAUGGGUGUUUUAUGUAUACAUGUUACAUGUAUCCACUACUUGCAUGCAGUGCCUGAGGAAGCCAGAAGAGGGCAUCAAAUCCCCUGCAACUGGAGUUAGAGUUGAAUCUGGGUCCUCUGGAAGAACAGCAGAUGCUCUUAACUGCUGGAUUAUCUCUCCAGCCCUUGUCUCCCCACCCCACCCCGCCCCAGACAGGGUUUCUCUGUGUAGCUCUGGCUGUCCUGGAACUCACUCUGUAGACCAGGCUGGCCUUGAACUCAGAAAUCUGCCUGCCUCUGCCUCCCAAACGCUGGGAUUAAAGACGUGCGCCACCACC
rnacentral:lncRNA from 1 species